GAUGAACGCUAGCGGCAGGCCUAAUACAUGCAAGUCAAGGGGCCCCGAGCAAUCGGGGCACCGGCGGACGGGUGCGUAACGCGUACACAACGUGCCCAAGGGCGGGGGAAAGCGGCGGGAAACUGCCGGUAAUACCCCAUGGUGUUGGAGGGUGGCAUCACUUUUCAACUAAAGUACAAGCGCCCUUGGAUCGGUGUGCGUCCGAUUAGCUAGUUGGCGGGUAACGGCUCACCAAGGCUUCGACGGGUAGCGGUCUGAGAGGACGAUCAGCCACACUGGCACUGCGACACGGGCCAGACUCCUACGGGAGGCAGCAGUAAGGAAUAUUGCGCAAUGGGCGAAAGCCUGACGCAGCGACGCCGCGUGGGGGAUGAAGGUCUUCGGAUUGUAAACCCCUUUCGGGAGGGAAGAUGGAACGAGCAAUCGUUCGGACGGUACCUCCAGAAGCAGCCACGGCUAACUUCGUGCCAGCCGCCGCAGUAAU
rnacentral:rRNA from 1 species